rnacentral:rRNA from 1 species
UACGAGUGCGUCGAGCGUUAUCCGGAAUCAUUGGGCGUAAAGGGUGCGUAGGCGGCGCGGUAAGUCGGGUGUGAAAUCUUGGAGCUUAACUCCGAAACUGCAUUCGAUACUGCCGUGCUUGAGGACUGGAGAGGAGACUGGAAUUUACGGUGUAGCGGUGAAAUGCGUAGAGAUCGUAAGGAAGACCAGUGGCGAAGGCGGGUCUCUGGACAGUUCCUGACACUGAGGCACGAAGGCCAGGGGAGCAAACGGG